GACAGAGGGUGCAAACGUUGCUCGGAAUUACUGGGCGUAAAGCGCGUGUAGGUGGACUGGUGUGUCAGAUGUGAAAUCCCUGGGCUCAACCCAGGAACUGCACCUGAAACUACCAGCCUUGAGUGGUGGAGAGGGAAGUGGAAUUCCUGGUGUAGAGGUGAAAUUCGUAGAUAUCAGGAGGAACACCAGUGGCGAAGGCGGCUUCCUGGACACCAACUGACGCUGAGACGCGAAAGCGUGGGGAGCGAACCGG
rnacentral:rRNA from 1 species